AUUGAACGCUGGCGGCAGGCCUAACACAUGCAAGUCGAACGAGUGGCGGACGGGUGAGUAAUGUCUGGGAAACUGCCCGAUGGAGUGGGCUAACUACUGGAAACGGUAUCUAAUACCGCAUCCCCUCUGAUGUGCCCAGAUGGGAUUAGCUAGUAGGUUGGGUACCGGCUCACCUAGGCGACGAUCCCUAGCUGGUCUGAGAGGAGGACCAGCCACAUUGGAACUGAGACACGGGCCAGACUCCGACGGGAGGCAGCAGUGGGGAAUAUUGCACAAUGGGCGCAAGCCUGAUGCAGCCAUGCCGCGGGUAUGAAGAAGGCCUUCGGGUUGUAAAGUACUUUCAGCGAGGAGGCGUUACUCGCAGAAGAAGCACCGGCUAACUCCGUGCCAGCCGCCGCGGUAAUUC
rnacentral:rRNA from 1 species